GUACCCGUACCGCAAACCGACACAGGUGGGUGAGGAGAGUAUCCUAAGGCCAGCGAGAGAACUGUUGUUAAGGAACUCGGCAAAAUGACCCCGUAACUUAGGGAUAAGGGGUGCCACCAUCAGGUGGCCGCAGGGAAUAGGCCCAAGCGACUGUUUACCAAAAACAUAGGUUUCUGCUAAGUCGCAAGACGAUGUAUAGGAGCUGACGCCUGCCCGGUGCUGGAAGGUUAAGGGGAUCUGUUAGAGCAAUCGAAGCAGUGAACUUAAGC
rnacentral:rRNA from 1 species